AAUAUAUCAUUGUGAUAGAAUCUGUAUAUCUCUUUGGUCACACUGCUGAGCAGGAAGACCUGGAUAACAAGGGGGUCUGAAGGCUAAGCCAUAUGAUGAACGAUUGAGGGAACUAGGGGUGACAUGACACCUGUCUUUCAGUAUUUGUGGGGCUAGAAAUGGGUUGAAUUAUUCUCCAAAGCAGGACAAGAAACAACAGAUGGAAAUUUUAUCACAUUGAAAUCCAACCUAGAACUAAGGAGAAAAUUCCUAACAAUGGGAACAGAUAAAUCACUGGAGUGGCUCACCUCCAGAAGUUGUGGAUGCUUCAUCACUGGAGGUUUUCAAGAAGGAACUAGACAGCCAUUUGUCUGGAAUGGGAUGGGGUUUCCUGCUAGAAAAGACUAGAAUACCUGUGAGGUCUCUUCCUGUUGUCCUAGGUUCUUUGUUCCAAUUCCAAACUGAUGGAUUAUAUGCAAUCAAUCUAAAGUGCAAAAGUUGUUGAGUUCAAUUAUCUGUAGAAGAUUUGAACACUACUGCAGCGUUCCGCAACCUUUCUGGGUGGUCAGCCUGACCUGGGGCGGGGAGGGGGAGAGGAGAAGGGCAGGUUUGGGUAUGUGCCCACGCAGAGCUUCAUUUGUGUGAGCAGCGGGUGAGUGUGGGCACUGCUCAUGCAAGUGGAGCUGUGAGCACCAGUGCCUGCCGCACAUGUGAGUGGGGGCUGCAGUCCACUGCUCUCGCAAGUUGGACUGUGAAUGCCAGUGACCGCCACUCACACAGCCCGGUUGCACAUAAGCCACAGUUCAGUAGUGGGCCACAGCCCACAUGUUGGGGACCCCUGUACUCUUGAAUAAGUUCUGGCUUUGCCUAAUGUUUUCUAAUAAAAAGGGAAUUCGUUCCAUGGCGGUCAAUGUAAUGCAUGACUUUUUCUAUUUCUUUGGUUGUAUCAUGGGCUUCAAUUGUACAGUCUUAUAAGCAUGCUAUCUGAUACCCCUAAAUUAGCACUUGAAUAACUAUAUAUAGUUGAUCUAGUUUUUGAUGAGGCACCCAAGCAAAUCAAUAAUAGCCAACUUACUGCUUGCUUGUUCUCUCCUACGAAAGUUCAGCCACAUCAUGGGAAAGAUAUGCGGCUAGUUAUUGAGGUAUAAUCAAUAGAAUUGCAAAUUGAGCAAUUGUCAAGCUCCAGGAAAAUCAGGAGAUUCUGGCAGUUCAAAUGGGUAUCAAGAUUUAUUGCAAGCUUAACCUCUCUACAAGAAUCAACUCCUAACACCCAUGCAUGCUGGCUAAGAGUCACAGGAAUUCAACUUGGAUCUCUUGUGGGUACAAAGGGCUCAGCCUGCUCAUCCAUACAGCAAUUUAAUCAGAUUUUAGAGUUAAAAGUGCUGAGAAAAUAUAUUAUUUACUAUUUAUGUUUAACAAAGCAGAUUGCUUAGCUCCUAAGAACCAUUAAAUUGACAAAUUUCUUUCCUCUUUACCUAUAAAACUGCAUUAGAAAGAUUCCCUUGAGGAAAUAAAAUGCAAAUCUUAGGUUGGUUUUGUCCAACUUGGGUGUAUUUUGGAGCAUUUGGGGAGCAGGGAAAGAAAAAAGUUGGGAAACUUGUUUUCACAAGCAUUCUCAUUUGUGAUUCUCUAGCUCCAGUGAAUUGUCCAGUUUGCUGGGAGAGGAUGAUAUAUAAAUACACAAACCUGUCACUUGCUAUAAACCUUGCCCUUUUCUUGUGCGCCUUAAGAGGUUUGAGAAUCUGAACUUGUGAAAGAAUUCACACCCAUUACUGUCAGGAUAUAUAUACCUAAGGCCAAACAAAGUCUUGAUUAUAAAGUUCAUUCAUCUUGUUGAAACUAAAAAACUUGGUGGCAUCCAGCAUUGUCCCAGCCUGAAUACCAUCGUGCAAGAAAAGCAAUAUGCAGGCAUGAAACUAUUGGAAUGUGUAAGAAGAACCCUAAAAUUUAGACAUUGUUACUUCAGAAACAAGCAUCUAAGUUUAUUGAAAAUACAGGAACCAACUUUUAGCUAAUCAAAGAACAUUCCUGUAUCAGGGAUUGACUGUAAUAUUCUCUCUAGAUAUAUCAAGCUUUAGCUUUUUCUGCUUAAAACUUAAAAAUGUAAGCAAAACCGUGACUGCUGUUUAAUAGGUAUAGAAAGAGGCCACACUUUAUUCAAUCGGAAAAUAUUUCUAAAAUAAUUAAAUGGCAUCUGUGUACUUGAUAUGGUUUAGUCCAGUAGGAAAAUGUUUCAACAAGGCUAACCUCUCUAUAAGCCAAUGGCAUUUUAUUAUUAUUAACAGUACAGUGGCAGUCAGAAGAUUCAUCUUCUAUGUCUUUACAAAAUGCAUUUAUUGAAAUAAUAUUCCUGGCCCUGAUUGGUUUCUAAAAAUGAAAAUGUGAAAACUGAAAUAUAUUUGACAUAAAGAACCAAACAACCUUUGAAAAUGAUCAUGUGCCUUAAAUCUACCUGGGGAGUAAAAGCUAAGUUUCACAGCAGCAUCUUUGGUCAGAUGUAUAGUUUUUAACCAAAAGCUCAAAAACGAAGAGAACAGUUUGAAGCUCUUCUUGCACUAUUGUUUUGUACAUUAUAUGGAUUUUUUUUCCUGCUAAAUAAGCAUCUUGAUCAUGAAAUAACAUGCUGGUUAUAGUUCCAUAAUCAUGAAUAUUGAUCACUCACUGAAAUCUUUGCAUGUAAAUACAAAAAAUAUCUUCAUUCUAAGUCCUGUAUGAAACAGAGGCUAUCUUUUUAACAGUAUGUUGUAUUUUUUCUCAUCUUUUUUUGCCUCUAGUUAUAUAUUCUGUAGUUUAAUUUUGCGCACAGAUGUUAAUAUAUUUAUGUAAUGUGAUGUGUAAAAGUUAUUAAGAAAUUGAAGUUUACCUUGGUGCAGAGUUGUAUAAAAAUGCAGUUUGUAAAAUCUUUCAGACAAUAAUGAUCAGAAUGUAUGGUAUGCUUUCUAAAUCUUAAUUUUCAUUUAUUGUAUGAAAUGUCUAUCUUUUUUUAAAAAUGCUGAAAGGCCACUGAUUGUAAAGGAGACCCUUUUAGUCACUUAACCAGCCUUCACAUUAUCAACAUUUUAUUAAAUAUUGGGAAGCGGUGGUGACAUUUUGUGGGAAGUUACACUACACUUAGAUUAAAAUGGUUGCAACCUA